GACGAACGCUGGCGGCGUGCUUAACACAUGCAAGUCGAACGCUGAAGCUUGGUGCUUGCACUGGGUGGAUGAGUGGCGAACGGGUGAGUAAUACGUGAGUAACCUGCCCUUGACUCUGGGAUAAGCCUGGGAAACUGGGUCUAAUACUGGAUACGACAUGUCACCGCAUGGUGGCGUGUGGAAAGGGUUUUACUGGUUUUGGAUGGGCUCACGGCCUAUCAGCUUGUUGGUGGGGUAAUGGCUCACCAAGGCGACGACGGGUAGCCGGCCUGAGAGGGUGACCGGCCACACUGGGACUAAGACACGGCCCAGACUCCUACGGGAGGCAGCAGUGGGGAAUAUUGCACAAUGGGCGAAAGCCUGAUGCAGCGACGCCGCGUGAGGGAUGACGGCCUUCGGGUUGUAAACCUCUUUCAGCACGGAAGAAGCGAAAGUGACGGUACGUGCAGAAGAAGCGCCGGCUAACUACGUG
rnacentral:rRNA from 1 species